ensembl:lncRNA
GUGGAGUUCACGUGCACCGCGUACUGAUGACUAAUACCAACCACUCUGGGACGGAGAAGUGAAGAGCAGGAUGUAGAUAUCAAGACAACCGGCACAGACUGGACGUCGUGUCACGUAAUAUGUCUCCCAAGUGAUAGACGCAUCGCAGUGCUGAUAUAAAAGUCCAUUGGCAAUCAGUCAAAGCCAAGGCACGGCGUCAUAAUGGAGCAGCAGCUCUGGAUGGACGAGGAUGCCAUCCAUCAGUUUGAAGGGACGCCGCUGAUGUGUGACUUCCCGUCCAUCUCGUCAGUCAUCUUCAUUGUUAAAGUUGGAGGUAAGGUUGGGAAAUUGAGGGCCUGUUCAUCAAGCGUUUCAGAGGGAACUGGGGACAGGCUAAUGAGAAAGCCAUCUUUCACAGACCAAGCCUGGCGGUGUGAUAAUUGCGCGAAACCAAAAAAUUAAAUAAAAAAACUACUGAGGAACAAGGAGUUAAAUUGAAAAAAAGCCUUCUGAGCCUUGCACUUCAUCCACUUAGCUGGGUUUCGCAGUGUUUUCCACCAAUUUCUUGGUUGAGCAGACACACAUAAAUUGAUACAAAUCCAUAAUCCAGAUUGGGGCUUAAAUCCGUCUCUGCUUCCUGCUUUUCCUAACAGGCGUGUGUUGAGUAUUGAUCGCAGCCUGAAUAAUUGAGAAGCUUAAGCUAAGCAAGCAUGUGAGGGGAAAUGGUACUGAAUAGUACAUCCAAAAAAUGGGCAUCAAAUUUGAAGUGCAAAGAACUGCAGUGCAAGUCCACAAUAAAUUGGGCCUUUUGGUUUAGUUAAUGCACAAAUGCACAAGUUUUUUACUCGUAAUGUUCACUGAGGUAAUUUUGCAUCUGCUGCAGGUUGAGGUUUUACUGGCAUACUGUACUACACCUGACUUUAACAAUGCAAGGAGGAUUUUCCGUCUGCAGCGUGGUAAAGCCGACACUGCAUGUUUGUCAUUAUAAAACAUUUACAAAGGAAUCCAAUGUAUUGCACAGGACACUUCAACGAG